AGAGUUUGAUCCUGGCUCAUGACGAACGCUGGCGGCGCGCCUAACACAUGCAAGUCGAACGAGCGAGAGAGAGCUUGCUUUCCCGAGCGAGCGGCGAACGGGUGAGUAACGCGUGAGGAACCUGCCUCAAAGAGGGGGACAACAGUUGGAAACGACUGCUAAUACCGCAUAAGCCCACAGCUCGGCAUCGAGCAGAGGGAAAAGGAGCAAUCCGCUUUGAGAUGGCCUCGCGUCCGAUUAGCUAGUUGGUGAGGUAAUGGCCCACCAAGGCGACGAUCGGUAGCCGGACUGAGAGGUUGAACGGCCACAUUGGGACUGAGACACGGCCCAGACUCCUACGGGAGGCAGCAGUGGGGAAUAUUGCACAAUGGGGGAAACCCUGAUGCAGCGACGCCGCGUGGAGGAAGAAGGUCUUCGGAUUGUAAACUCCUGUUGUUGAGGAAGAUAAUGACGGUACUCAACAAGGAAGUGACGGCUAACUACGUGCCAGCAGCCGCGGUAAAACGUAGGUCACAAGCGUGGUCCGGAAUUACUGGGUGUAGAGGGAGCGCACGUGGGAAGACAAGUUGGAAGUGACAUCUAUGGGCUCAACCCAUAAACUGCUUUCAAAACUGUUUUCUUGAGUAGUGCAGAGGUAGGCGGAAUUCCCGGUGUAGCGGUGGAAUGCGUAGAUAUCGGGAGGAACACCAGUGGCGAAGGCGGCCUACUGGGCACCAACUGACGCUGAGGCUCGAAAGUGUGGGUAGCAAACAGGAUUAGAUACCCUGGUAGUCCACACCGUAAACGAUGAUUACUAGGUGUUGGAGGAUUGACCCCUUCAGUGCCGCAGUUAACACAAUAAGUAAUCCACCUGGGGAGUACGACCGCAAGGUUGAAACUCAAAGGAGUUGACGGGGGCCCGCACAAGCAGUGGAGUAUGUGGUUUAAUUCGACGCAACGCGAAGAACCUUACCAAGUCUUGACAUCCCUUGACGAACAUAGAAAUAUGUUUUCUCUUCGGAGCAAGGAGACAGGUGGUGCAUGGUUGUCGUCAGCUCGUGUCGUGAGAUGUUGGGUUAAGUCCCGCAACGAGCGCAACCCUUACUGUCAGUUACUACGCAAGAGGACUCUGGCAGGACUGCCGUUGACAAAACGGUGGAAGGUGGGGAUGACGUCAAAUCAUCAUGCCCUUUAUGACUUGGCUACACACGUACUACAAUGGCGUUAAACAAAGAGAAGCAAGACCGCGAGGUGGAGCAAAACUCAGAAACAACGUCCCAGUUCGGACUGCAGGCUGCAACUCGCCUGCACGAAGUCGGAAUUGCUAGUAAUCGUGGAUCAGCAUGCCACGGUGAAUACGUUCCCGGGCCUUGUACACACCGCCCGUC
rnacentral:rRNA from 1 species